rnacentral:rRNA from 1 species
AUUAACGCUGGCGGCAUGCCUAAUACAUGCAAAUCGAACGAAGCCUUUUGGCUUAGUGGUGAACAGGUGAGUAACACGUAUCCAAUCUACCCUUAAGUUUGGGGUAACUAGUCGAAAGAUUAGCUAAUACCGGAUAAUAACAUUCACUUGCAUGAGUGAAUGUGGAAAGUUGCGUUUGCAACGCUUUUGGAUGAGGGUGCGACGUAUCAGAUAGUUGGUGAGGUAACGGCUCACCAAGUCAUUGACGCGUAGCUGUACUGGGAGGUAGAACAGCCACAAUGGGGCUGAGACACGGCCCAU